rnacentral:rRNA from 1 species
AUUGAACGCUGGCGGCAGGCCUAACACAUGCAAGUCGAACGAGUGGCGGACGGGUGAGUAAUGUCUGGGAAACUGCCUGAUGGAGGGGGAUAACUACUGGAAACGGUAGCUAAUACCGCAUACCAUCAGAUGUGCCCAGAUGGGAUUAGCUAGUUGGUGGGGUAACGGCUCACCAAGGCGACGAUCCCUAGCUGGUCUGAGAGGAUGACCAGAGACACUGGCACGGGGACACGGUACAGACUCCUACGGGAAGCAGAAGUGGUGAAUAUUGCACAAUAGGCGCAAGCCUGAUGCAGCCAUGCCGCGUGUAUGAAAGAGGCCUUCGGGUUAUAAGGUACUUUCAGCGGGGAGGCGUUACCCGCAGAAGAAGCACCGGCUAACUCCGUGCCAGCAGCCGCGGUAAUUC